AACUUUCGGCAAUGGAUCACUUGGCUCUCGCAUCGAUGAAGAACGCAGCGAAAUGCGAUACGUAAUGUGGAUUGCAUAAUUCAGUGAAUCAUCGAAUCUUUGAACGCAUAUUGCGCUCUUUGGUAUUCUGAAGAGCAUGCUUGUUUGAGUAUCAGUAAACACCUCAAAUCCUUCAAUUUGUUUUGAAUGUUUUGGACUUGAGCAAUCCCAACACCAGUCUUUACGAUCGGCGGAGGGUAGCUUGAAAUGAAGGUGCAGCUGGACAUUCUCCUGAGCUAUAAGCAUAUUUAUUUAGUCCCAUCAAGCGGAUUAAUACUUUUGCUGCAGCUAACAUAAAGGGAGUUUGACCAUAUUGGCUGACUGAUGCAGGAUUUCACAAGGGUCGGCAACGAUUCUUGUAAAACUCGAUCUCAAAUCAAGUAAGACUACCCGCUGAACUUAAGCAUAUCAAUAAGCGGAGGCU
rnacentral:misc_RNA from 1 species